rnacentral:lncRNA from 14 species
AGCAGUUCAGUUCUAUUACUUUUGCUAGACCUUUACCGUAGUUACUGGGAGAAGAAGGUUUUGUUCCAAUAACCUGGAGUCAAGUCCUUGUUCCAGGCAAACUCCGCAUUUGGCUUGGCUUGUCAAUUAAAAGUCUUCCCAAGCUGUUCUUUGCAUUGCACUGGCCAAGCCACAUUAAGGACUGCAGGCAAUGCUCAUACCAAGUACUAAUUCUGGUCUUCAUAAAGCUUAACAAUUCCAUACACAUCAUUCAUCUUCUCUUUAAACAGCAGAGGAAGAUGGGGAUGAAAGCCUCAGAAGUGCCCCAGACUCUUGUCAGAAAACAAAAUCCUUUCCAAAGAUUCAGUCUACAUCAGACACUGAGGAGCCCCAAGAGAGUGACGAGGAGAUACCGGAACAGCCACUCACUCCAGCCCCGGGCAGCCUCUUUUAUGAAGAUGAAAAAGAUUUCCAGGAACACUUAGAACUGGCUCCUCUGGAGACAAAGCUGAUGUGUGUGAUUGGAAAAGCUAUGCCUAUUCAUAAACAACCAGAAGAAAUGCCAAGCAGAAGAGGCACAGAAGACAGCAUGGGUCAUAAAUCAGACAGGCGCAUCACAGCUCGGAUGAUCAGGGCUUUAUCUAAAGAAAAG